GACGGAGGGGGCAAGCGUUGUCCGGACUCACUGGGCGUAAAGGGUGCGUAGGCGGUUUGGUGCGUCGGCGCUGAAAUCCGUGGGCUUAACCCACGGGCGCGUGCCGAUACGACUGACUUGAGGCUCGGAGAGGGUGGGAGAACUCCUGGUGUAGUGGUGAAAUGCGUAGAGAUCAGGAAGAAUACCUGUGGCGCAAAGCGCCCACC
rnacentral:rRNA from 1 species